UGGUAUCGACCGGACAGGGAAGGUCGGUGGUCGCACGUCGAGGUGUACGUUGGCCUCGUUAAUCCACGUACAAAAACACAAAUGCCAACGAUGAAACCAUCGCUGGUCGCAUCGGCUUCGGCCAAAUGCGACUCGCUGCCUAAUUUAAUUAGGUAACGAACCCCCAUGGGCGCUGGGCCCGUGGUAAACAUGGGGAUGACAACGGGCUCGUCCAAUCCAGGCGUUUCAGCUGGUGCGGACUAAACAACACUGGCACUAGAUAAGCAGCAGGCUGUCGCUGGCCGUCUGCGGUUCGAAACUAAAGCAACGACUAUGCGUGUAGAAGCUACCGGUUGACUGUACCGACACGGGGGUUCGAAU
rnacentral:tmRNA from 14 species